rnacentral:rRNA from 1 species
UGUGUAGGCGGUUCUUUAAGUUUGGUGUGAAAUCUCCCGGCUCAACCGGGAGGGUGCGCCGAAUACUGAGGGACUCGAGUGCGGGAGAGGAAAGUGGAAUUCCUGGUGUAGCGGUGAAAUGCGUAGAUAUCAGGAGGAACACCGGUGGUGUAGACGGCUUUCUGGACCGUAACUGACGCCGAGACACGAAAGCGUGGGUAGCAAACA